GAUGAACGCUAGCUACAGGCUUAACACAUGCAAGUCGAGGGGUAACAAGAGAAAAGCUUGCUUUUCUUGUUGACGACCGGCGCACGGGUGAGUAACGCGUAUCCAACCUGCCUAUAACUAGGGAAUAACCUUGCGAAGGUAAGACUAAUACCCUAUGAUUUCCUUUGAUGACAUCAGAUUAGGAAUAAAGAUUUAUCGGUUAUAGAUGGGGAUGCGUCUGAUUAGCUUGUUGGCGGGGUAACGGCCCACCAAGGCAACGAUCGGUAGGGGUUCUGAGAGGAAGGUCCCCCACAUUGGAACUGAGACACGGUCCAAACUCCUACGGGAGGCAGCAGUGAGGAAUAUUGGUCAAUGGGCGGAAGCCUGAACCAGCCAAGUAGCGUGCAGGAUGACGGCCCUAUGGGUUGUAAACUGCUUUUAUACAGGAAUAAAGUUAGCCACGUGUGGUUAUUUGUAGGUACUGUAUGAAUAAGGACCGGCUAAUUCCGUGCCAGCCGCCGCGGUAA
rnacentral:rRNA from 1 species